UGUGGGAGCUGGCUUGCCAGCGAUUGCGUCGGCACGUCCAAUAUUGAGGAUGACUGAUCCACCGCUAUCGCUGGCAAGCCAGCUCCCACA
rnacentral:antisense_RNA from 1 species